GAUGAACGCUGGCGGCGUGCUUAACACAUGCAAGUCGAACGGAAAGGCCCAAGCUUGCUUGGGUACUCGAGUGGCGAACGGGUGAGUAACACGUGGGUGAUCUGCCCUGCACUUCGGGAUAAGCCUGGGAAACUGGGUCUAAUACCGGAUAGGACCACAUUUUGGAUGGUGUGGUGGAAAGUUUUUCGGUGUGGGAUGAGCUCGCGGCCUAUCAGCUUGUUGGUGGGGUAAUGGCCUACCAAGGCGUCGACGGGUAGCCGGCCUGAGAGGGUGUACGGCCACAUUGGGACUGAGAUACGGCCCAGACUCCUACGGGAGGCAGCAGUGGGGAAUAUUGCACAAUGGGCGCAAGCCUGAUGCAGCGACGCCGCGUGGGGGGUGACGGCCUUCGGGUUGUAAACUCCUUUCGCUAGGGACGAAGCGUUAUGUGACGGUACCUGGAGAAGAAGCACCGGCUAACUACGUG
rnacentral:rRNA from 1 species